GACGAACGCUGGCGGCGUGCUUAACACAUGCAAGUCGAACGGAAAGGCCCUGCUUUUGUGGGGUGCUCGAGUGGCGAACGGGUGAGUAACACAUGAGUAACCUGCCCUUGACUUUGGGAUAACUUCAGGAAACUGGGGCUAAUACCGGAUAGGAGCUCCUGCUGCAUGGUGGGGGUGGAAAGUUUCGGCGGUUGGGGAUGGGCUCGCGGCUUAUCAGCUUGUUGGUGGGGUAGUGGCUUACCAAGGCUUUGACGGGUAGCCGGCCUGAGAGGGUGACCGGCCACAUUGGGACUGAGAUACGGCCCAGACUCCUACGGGAGGCAGCAGUGGGGAAUAUUGCACAAUGGGCGGAAGCCUGAUGCAGCAACGCCGCGUGCGGGAUGACGGCCUUCGGGUUGUAAACCGCUUUCGCCUGUGACGAAGCGUGAGUGACGGUAAUGGGUAAAGAAGCACCGGCUAACUACGU
rnacentral:rRNA from 1 species